rnacentral:rRNA from 1 species
CGUAGGCGCAAGCGUUGUCCGGAUUUACUGGGCGUAAAGAGCUCGUAGGCGGUCCGUCGCGUCGGCUGUGAAAGACCGCGGCUCAACCGCGGGCUCGCAGUCGAUACGGGCGGACUUGAGGGCGGUAGGGGCAAGCGGAAUUCCCGGUGUAGCGGUGAAAUGCGCAGAUAUCGGGAGGAACACCGAUGGCGAAGGCAGCUUGCUGGGCCGCGCCUGACGCUGAGGAGCGAAAGCGUGGGGAGCGAACAGGAUU